AAUCAACGCUGGCGGCGCGCCUAACACAUGCAAGUCGAACGAGAAAGUGGAGCAAUCCAUGAGUACAGUGGCGUACGGGUGAGUAACACGUGGGUAAUCUACCCUUUGGUGGGGAAUAACUCUGGGAAACCGGAGCUAAUACCGCAUAAUCCUGAGAAGGAAAAGCAGCAAUGCGCCGAAGGGGGAGCCCGCGGCCGAUU
rnacentral:rRNA from 1 species